rnacentral:rRNA from 1 species
UACAGAGGUCUCAAGCGUUUGUUCGGAUUCAUUGGGCGUAAAGGGUGCGUAGGCGGCGCGGUAAGUCGGGUGUGAAAUCUCGGGGCUUAACUCCGAAACUGCAUUCGAUACUGCCGUGCUUGAGGACUGGAGAGGAGACUGGAAUUUACGGUGUAGCGGUGAAAUGCGUAGAUAUCUGGAGGAACACCGGUGGCGAAGGCGGCAUCCUGGACCGGUAUUGACACUGAGGCGCGAAAGCCAGGGGAGCAAACGGG